rnacentral:rRNA from 1 species
CCUACGGGCGGCAGCAGUGGGGGAUAUUGCACAAUGGGGGAAACCCUGAUGCAGCGACGCCGCGUGGGCGAAGAAGUCUUUCCGUAUGUAAAGCCCUAUUAGCAGGGAAGAAGAACUCACGGUACCUGAGUAUCAACCACCGGCUAAAUACGUGCCACCAGCCGCGGUCAUACGUAUGGUGCAAGCGUUAUCCGGAUUUACUGGGUGUAAAGGGAGCGCAGGCGGCACGGCAAGCCUGAUGUGAAAGCCCGCGGCCCAACCGCGGGACUGCAGUGGGAACUACCGGGCUGGAGUGCCGGAGAGGCAGGCGGAAUUCCUAGUGUAGCGGUGAAAUGCGUAGAUAUUAGGAGGAACACCAGUGGCGAAGGCGGCCUGCUGGACGGUGACUGACGCUGAGGCUCGAAAGCGUGGGGAGCAAACAGGAUUAGAUACCCCUGUAGUC